rnacentral:rRNA from 1 species
GCUUCGGGCGCACCCAGAAACCCUUUGUGAACUUAUACCUAUCUGUUGCCUCGGCGCAGGCCGGCCUCUUCGCUGAGGCCCCCUGGAAACAGGGAGCAGCCCGCCGGCGGCCAACUAAACUCUUGUUUCUAUAGUGAAUCUCUGAGUAAAAAACAUAAAUGAAUCAAAACUUUCAACAACGGAUCUCUUGGUUCUGGCAUCGAUGAAGAACGCAGCGAAAUGCGAUAAGUAAUGUGAAUUGCAGAAUUCAGUGAAUCAUCGAAUCUUUGAACGCACAUUGCGCCCUCUGGUAUUCCGGAGGGCAUGCCUGUUCGAGCGUCAUUUCAACCCUCAAGCCUGGCUUGGUGAUGGGGCACUGCCUGUAAAAGGGCAGGCCCUGAAAUCUAGUGGCGAGCUCGCCAGGACCCCGAGCGUAGUAGUUAUAUCUCGCUUUGGAAGGCCCUGGCGGUGCCCUGCCGUUAAACCCCCAACUUCUGAAAAUUUGACCUCGGAUCAGGUAGGAAUACCCGCUGAACUUAAGCAUA